rnacentral:rRNA from 1 species
AAAGGGCUGCAGUAUUGUGACUGUACAAAGGUAGCAUAAUCAUUAGUUUUUUAAUUGGAAACUUGUAUGAAAGAUUUGAUGAAAUAUUAACUGUCUCUUGUUUAUUAUUAGAACUUUAUUUUUUAGUAAAAAAGCUAAAAUAAUUUUAAAAGACGAGAAGACCCUAUAGAGUUUUAUAUUUGAUUUUAUUUUAAAUUUUAUAUUAAAGUUAAUAUUAAAAUGAAAUUUAAUAUUAUAUUGGGGUGAUAGAAAAAUUAAAAUAACUUUUUUUAAAUAAUAAACAUAAAUAAAUGAUUAAUUGAUCCAUUAAUAAUGAUUAUAAGAAAAAAUUACCUUAGGGAUAACAGCGUAAUAUUUUUUUUUAGUUCAAAUAAAAAAAAA